rnacentral:rRNA from 1 species
GUCUAUGGCCAUGCCACCCUGAACACACCCUAUCUCAUCUGAUCUCAGAAGCUAAGCAGGGUCGGGCCUGGUUAGUACUUGGCUGGGAGACCACCCAGGAAGACCAGGUGCUGCAGGCA